rnacentral:rRNA from 1 species
AUCCCUUGGGGAUAACCUUGCCAAAGUAAAACUAAUACUCAAUGACGUCUCUAGAACACAUCUGAAAGAGAUUAAAGAUAUAUCGGUGAUGGAUGGGGAUGCGUCCGAUUAGCUUGUUGGCGGGGUAACGGCCCACCAAGGCGACGAUCAGUAGGGGUUCUGAGAGGAAGGUCCCCCACAUUGGAACUGAGACACGGUCCAAACUCCUACGGGAGGCAGCAGUGAGGAAUAUUGGUCAAUGGACGAGAGUCUGAACCAGCCAAGUAGCGUGCAGGAAGACGGCCCUAUGGGUUGUAAACUGCUUUUAUAAGGGAAUAAAGUGAGUCUCGUGAGACUUUUUGCAUGUACCUUAUGAAUAAGGACCGGCUAAUUCCGUGCCAGCAGCCGCGGUAAUACGGAAGGUCCGGGCGUUAUCCGGAUUUAUUGGGUUUAAAGGGAGCGUAGGCCGGAGAUUAAGCGUGUUGUGAAAUGUAGACGCUCAACGUCUGCACUGCAGCGCGAACUGGUUUCCUUGAGUACGCACAAAGUGGGCGGAAUUCGUGGUGUAGCGGUGAAAUGCUUAGAUAUCACGAAGAACUCCGAUUGCGAAGGCAGCUCACUGGAGCGCAACUGACGCUGAAGCUC